rnacentral:misc_RNA from 1 species
CGCACAUUGCGCCCUCUGGUAUUCCGGAGGGCAUGCCUGUUCGAGCGUCAUUUCAACCCUCAAGCCUGGCUUGGUGUUGGGGCACUGCUUUUCUCCCGAAGAGCAGGCCCUGAAAUAUAGUGGCGAGCUCGCCAGGACUCCGAGCGUAGUAGUUAAACCCUCGCUUUGGAAGGCCUGGCGGUGCCCUGCCGUUAAACCCCAACUUCUGAAAAUUUGACCUCGGAUCAGGUAGGAAUACCCGCUGAACUUAA